UCGUUAUCCCACUAUAUAAAAGGGACUAAUUUUGAAUGUUAUAAAGGAUGCCACAUAGGCAAAAUAUUCUCAUCCAUUCAUUCUGCCACGUCACUGGCAACCCAGACCAACAAAUCGUAAUUGCAGCCCAAGCUAACCAAACCAUUAAUCUCAAGUAAUCGUCAUACAAGCACCGUGAUGCCUUCUCUCUUAUAUCGUGACAGCUCUGCUCCUCUCCGCCUAUCUUUUUCUGCGUCUCUACUCUUCUCUGACUCUCUCCAUUCCACAUCUGUUUUUUCUCUUUCCUCAGAUUCCACUCUCGCGAGAUCUCUGCUCAUGUCUCUCCAUCUCCACUACCGGCUCUGUCAAUUGUUGAAGAAUCGAAGGGUGGAGACGAACCAAUGGAGCGAUGUGGUGAUGACAGAGGAAGAGGGGAUUCAGUUUCUAAUGGUGGACGCUCGUCACAGAUCUUUUGCAGGUUAGAUUGUAGAUAGUUAAAACUAUGUAUGAAUUUUGAUUGGUCAAUAUUUAAAAAAAAAAUAACUUUGUUGUUGGUUUGAUGUAUGUGAGGAGGUGCGAUGUAAUCAGUUUCAGAGCGUUGCAUUUUCGACUGAUGGGAUUGCGACAACACCUACCAUGAGGAAACUGAAUCUCAUUUGGGUCACUUCGAGAAUGCACAUUGAGAUCUACAGAUAUCCAGCUUGGGGUGAUGUGGUUGAGAUAGAGACAUGGUGUCAGAGUGAAGGAAGGAUCGGGACAAGGCGUGAUUGGAUUCUUAAGGACAUUGCUAACGCUGAAGUCACUGGCUGUGCUACUAGGUUUCCUUCUCAUCAUUUUUUUGCUUUCUCCAUUGGUUUGUGCAAUAGAAUUAAAUUUUCUUAUGUUAAAGAUAUAACUUUCAGUUACUUGGAUUUAUGUUAAAGAUAUAAUUUUCAUUUCCGAGCACUUGAUGUUCUGUCUUAAAGAACCCAGGUAAAAGGAACUUUGUGUCCAGGUCAAUGCAAUGCUUGCUGGUCAAUCAUAUCGUUAUAUUCAUGAAAUGCCCACUACUAUGUUUUAUGUAUAUCUUUGUAGAUUAGCAUUUCCUGUGGAGGAAAAUAACAGAAGCUUGAAGAAAAUCCCCACACUCGAAGAUCUAGCUAAGUACUCAAUCAUUGGACUAAAGCCAAGACGAGCUGAUCUCGACAUGAACCAUCAUGUCAAUAAUUUCACCUAUAUUGGAUGGAUUCUUGAGAGCAUACUCAAGAGAUUGUAGACACGCAUGAACUUUGGAUUACAGACGAGAAUGUCAGCAAGACGAUGUGGUGGAUUCACUCACCACCUCAAAGAAUGGCUCUGCAACAUCAGGCACACAAAGCCACAACGAUAGCCAGUUCUUAUCUGGAGAUGGUCAGGAGAUCAACUGUGGGACAACCCUGUGGAGAAAGAAGCCCUCCAGAUAGACAAUCCCUAAGCCAUUACGAGUCAAGGACCAAUCAUUUUCACAUAAACCUCUUUGCUUAUUUGAUUAAACAAGUUACAUGACUGAUAACAGAUUCUGCCUAUUACAAAGUCUCAUAAAUUUCAAAUAAUGUGAGUAAAUAAAUAGAAAACAGAGAAUUGGUAAAAUAUAAACAGAGUAAAGAUACAUUGAAAGUUAUGUCAAAGCUUCUCAGUUAAUCUAA